rnacentral:siRNA from 1 species
CGUCCCAAGCGUCACUCGAACCGG